rnacentral:lncRNA from 1 species
CACUAGAACAUAUGCUGGAGUUUUGUCUCACUGUCUCCUCUCCUCCUCAGGUUUCCAUGGGUAUAGCUGUUUUUGAUCUCAGUUCAUCUGCCUUACUGCAGUGUUUUUCUUGCUGUUGGAGGGGUUCUGCUAUUUCUGCCUCUCCUUUUCACCCUGCAGCCCCAAUUCCUUCUCCUUUUCCCCAGAAAGGUACUGGGGAAUUACAGUAGCAAAAAUAACAGUUUGUAGAGGCUCAAAAUAAUUUAUUCUCCCAAUGGCUUCCUUCUUUUUACUUUUGUUCAUUAUCCUAGAGACCUCCCUUGCUUCCCUUUUUGGCUCUCUCCCUUGCAUCUCCUGUGCUUCCCAUUUCUGCAGGCCCUAGAGCUAGACACGUGCCUGGGCUCAGGCCACCUGCUACAGAUGUUUGAGAUAUAGCCUAGAUAUAAUAAGGUGCUUGUCCACCUCUGCUACUUACAAUAUCACAAACAGAAGGAAAAAAAUUUCUACACUCCAAAUAUAUUUCUACACAUCUACGUUUCUAUAUUCCUCCAGGUGACUUCAUUUGCCACUUUCUGAUUGCUCUGCUAAAGCACAUGUAACCUGCUCAGUUGGUUCUCCUGCUGGAGUAUCUCCAUGCUGCUGCUGGCCAGCCCAUGCAGGCAGUGCCCUCCCUGAUACUCACAACUCAGCUGCUCUUCUUGCCUUAUUUAAGCAGCCAUUCAAUAUAUACUUUGAAUGAUUCUGAGGUCCGUUCAGCAGGAACUGCUGUGGUAGUAAGAAGUGUCAGUUGCACCAGCCUCCUUGUCCUUUCCCCUUCUUGGUUUUCCAGAGGAACAGUGGCAUACAGUGAAAACAUAGCUGAACUUCCCAUGCAAGCAGUCCAUCUGGAAGUUAUAACUGCUGAGCCAAGAGAAUAA